ACCGAAUUAGUGUAGUUGGUUAACAUAUGAUGUUGCUCUCGAAAGACUGAGCCGUCAAGACCAGGGUUCGAUUCCCUGAUUCGAAU